rnacentral:rRNA from 1 species
GAUGAACGCUGGCGGCGUGCUUAACACAUGCAAGUCGAACGAAGCAAUUUAGCGGAAGUUUUCGGAUGGAAGCUGGAUUGACUGAGUGGCGGACGGGUGAGUAACGCGUGGGUAACCUGCCUCACACUGGGGGACAACAGUUAGAAAUGACUGCUAAUACCGCAUAAGCGCACAGGACCGCAUGGUCCGGUGUGAAAAACUCCGGUGGUGUGAGAUGGACCCGCGUUUGAUUAGCUAGUUGGUGGGGUAACGGCCUACCAAGGCGACGAUCAAUAGCCGACCUGAGAGGGUGACCGGCCACAUUGGGACUGAGACACGGCCCAAACUCCUACGGGAGGCAGCAGUGGGGAAUAUUGCACAAUGGGGGAAACCCUGAUGCAGCGACGCCGCGUGAGUGAAGAAGUAUUUCGGUAUGUAAAGCUCUAUCAGCAGGGAAGAAAAUGACGGUAC